UACGGGGGGGGCAAGCGUUGUUCGGAAUUACUGGGCGUAAAGGGCGCGUAGGCGGGUUUCCAAGUCGGGGGUGAAAUUCCAGGGCUCAACCCUGGGACGGCCUUCGAUACUGGGAGCCUGGAGAUCGGGAGAGGUGAGUGGAAUUCCGAGUGUAGAGGUGAAAUUCGUAGAUAUUCGGAGGAACACCAGAAGCGAAGGCGGCUCACUGGCCCGAGACUGACGCUGAGGCGCGAAAGCUAGGGGAGCAAACGGGG
rnacentral:rRNA from 1 species